AGCUCUCAAGCGAGUCUUUCUUCUUUGCAAAGAGAAGAGGCGAGUUUGGAUUUGAACUUUGCUGUGUAACAAGCGGCUGGUUCUAAAAGUAUUAGCUGAUCCUAGUAAGGCUUGGUUCUACUUGGCGUGAUAAUUAUCUAACGUCAAGGACAUUGUUUCUUCAUUGAAAGAAUGGCCAGGCUCUGAUUAGGAUUGCUUCUAAUCGUCUUCAGUGACAAUUUAUUUCAA
rnacentral:misc_RNA from 1 species